rnacentral:rRNA from 1 species
CCUACGGGUGGCAGCAGUGAGGAAUAUUGGUCAAUGGACGGAAGUCUGAACCAGCCAUGCCGCGUGCAGGAAGACGGCUCUAUGAGUUGUAAACUGCUUUUGUACAAGGGUAAACCUGAAUACGUGUAUGCAGCUGAAAGUAAUGUACGAAUAAGGAUCGGCUAACUCCGUGCCAGCAGCCGCGGUAAUACGGAGGAUCCAAGCGUUAUCCGGAUUUAUUGGGUUUAAAGGGUGCGGAGGCGGAUUGAUAAGGUAGAGGUGAAAUGUCCGAGCUUAACUCGGGAACUGCCUCUCAUACUGUUGUUCUUGAGUGUCGCUGCGGUAUGCGGAAUGUCUGGUGUAGCGGUGAAAUGCUU